UCAGUUUCACUCUUCCAUUCCAUCAUCUGAUACACGUUACAACUUUCUCACUUCUUCUUCCGUUCCUUUUCUCCUCCACCCAAACGAUUUCUUCUUCCUCCUCAUCCUCCACCUGAGAGACAACAUGGUUGAUUCUUACCCCAUUACCAAUGACUCAGUGAAGAUUUCAUCUCUCGCUACUGGAGGAGACGCACCUAAUGACACCAAGCCCUAAUUGGAUCCGCUCUAUUUCAACUCAAUUCAUAACCAGAUGAAGAGUGUGAAGGAUAUCCAAAAAAUCACCAAGGAAUGAAAUUGACAUUAUUGUUGUUGGUAUUUUUUAAGGGAGUUGUGUUGCUAUUGUGGAUUCAGGAACAUCUUUUCUUGCCGAUCCAAUUUUACUUGCUUACAUUAUAGUGGUCAGUAGCGGUGUUUCUCAAAUUUAUCUAGACCAUGCUGAGAAGCAUAGAUGUGUCAAACAAGAAUGAUAUAUGCACCUGACAUGUGCAAGCCUUUGAAGAACACUAGCGGAGCUUUCUAAAUUGGCUUAUACCUUAAUGAGGAAUUCGGUCGCAUAAGCUUUGUUCUUCUGUUGUGCCUUUUAUUUUUUGAUUUGGAUUGCCUUUGGAAUGAGCAUCUGCAAGCUUCCCAAAUGAAUCUAUAGGAUACUCCUCCAUUUUUCAAGGAGCUGCGUACUCGAGUACUGCUAUGUACAUGUUCUUCCCGCGUUAAGGUAAUAUUCUGAAUUUUCAAUAUCAACAAAUUUGUUUUUUUUUCCUUGAAUUUUAAUCGUUGUUCUGACGCAGUCUGAAGUAGCAGAUCAGAGAGACUUGCGGGACAUGCGAUUUUAAUACAAAACAUGCUUUGUUCUAAAAGUUGUUUGAUACUUGGAUAUUAUGUAUUAGAAAUGUUUCACUUUUUUUAAUUUGGCCUUUUUGAAGUCUCAUCUUGAUACUUACAUAUUCUUACAACUUUCUCUUAUCUGUAGAGGGUGAGUUAUUAAUUGAUUGAGGCAUCCAGGAACAAAAAUAUUACUUUGACAAUGACAUGAUAUUCAUCAUUAUAUUAAUCAUGAUUCUUGAUCC